rnacentral:RNase_P_RNA from 1 species
GAGGAAAGUCCGGGCUCCACAUAACCACGGUGCCGGGUAACGCCCGGCGGUCGCGCCUCGGGACUGCGCUAUUGCGUGCGAUAGGGGAAGCCAGACAAGCGCGGCAAGGGACAGUGCCACAGAGAGCAGACCGCCUAUGGCCGUCGUCCGUUUACGGAUACGUGGCCAGGCAAGGGUGAAAGGGUGCGGCAAGAGCGCACCGCGCGAUGGGUAACCGGAGCGGCAUGGCAAACCCCACCGGGAGCAAGACCGAAUAGGGACGGCGCGGACUCGCAAGGGUUCAGGGCGUGGUUGUCGCCCAGUCGUCCGGGUUGGUUGCUAGAGCCGGUCAGCAAUGGCCGGCGUAGAGGAAUGGUCGCCCAUCUGCUGAAAGGCAGUGGACAGAACCCGGCUUA